GAGGAGGAUAUCCCAGCAGCCCUUGCAAAAAUGGAGCAUGGCAUGGUUUGAAGAAAAGAUGGCGACGAAUGUUUUGACAUUUUACCGACACUAAAGGCUUCGAAAAGAUCUCUGGGGGUGUGUCACAGAUCUGUCCUGAUUUGGAUAUGUGACAAGACAUUGCAUCAACUUAAAUGUUCAGAAAAUGAUUGAGCUGCCACAACUAGCAGUUUUCCUGCAAAGAGGUUUAAAGUCAUGAAAGAAUGCUGGUGCCUAUCUCCAUGUCUUUUGAGAGUCAUUGAUCGUUCAGAUGCAUUGAAAUAUCGAAUGCAGACCUUAUGAGAAAUUGAAGCAUUAUGAUGCUGACUAUGUGAUUGUUCCCUCUCUGUUCGUCAUUUGGAAGCUAAGGAUUGCCUUGAAGGAAAUUAAUGGGUUCGAGAAGAUCUCUUCAAUCAAUGGAGGGUGUCACAGAUCUGUCCUGAUUUGGAAAUGUGACAAGACAUUGCAUCAACUUAAAUGUUCAGAAAAUGACUGAGCUGCCACAGCUAGCAGUUUUUCUGCAAAGAGGUUUAAAGUCGUGAAAGAAUGCUGGUACCUCUCUCCAUGUCUUUUGAGAGUCACUGAUCGUUGAGAUGCAUUGAAUUAUCGAAUGCAGACCUUGUGAGAAAUUGAAGCAAAUCCUUGCUGAGUAUAUGAUUGUUCCCACUCUGUUCGUGAUUUGGAAGCUAAGGAUUGCCUUGAAGGAACUUUAAUGGGUUCGAGAAGAUCUCUUCAAUCAAUGGAGGGUGUCACAGAUCUGUCCUGAUUUGGAAAUGUGACAAGACAUUGCAUCAACUUAAAUGUUCAGAAAAUGAUUGAGCUGCCACAGCUAGCAGUUUUUCUGCAAAGAGGUUUAAAGUCGUGAAAGAAUGCUGGUGCCUCUCUCCAUGUCUUUUGAGAGUCACUGAUCGUUGAGAUGCAUUGAAUUAUCGAAUGCAGACCUUGUGAGAAAUUGAAGCAAAUCCUUGCUGAGUAUAUGAUUGUUCCCACUCUGUUCGUGAUUUGGAAGCUAAGGAUUGCCUUGAAGGAACUUUAAUGGCUUCGAGAAGAUCUCUUCAAUUAAUGGAGGGUGUCACAGAUCUGUCCUGAUUUGGAAAUGUGACAAGACAUUGCAUCAACUUAAAUGUUCAGAAAAUGAUUGAGCUGCCACAGCUAGCAGUUUUUCUGCAAAGAGGUUUAAAGUCGUGAAAGAAUGCUGGUGCCUCUCUCCAUGUCUUUUGAGUGUCAUUGAUCGUUCAGAUGCAUUGAAUUAUCGAAUGCAGACCUUGUGAGAAAUUGAAGCAAAUCCUUGCUGAGUAUAUGAUUGUUCCCACUCUGUUCGUGAUUUGGAAGCUAAGGAUUGCCUUGAAGGAACUUUAAUGGGUUCGAGAAGAUCUCUUUAAUCAAUGGAGGGUGUCACAGAUCUGUCCUGAUUUGGAAAUGUGACAAGACAUUGCAUCAACUUAAAUGUUCAGAAAAUGAUUGAGCUGCCACAGCUAGCAGUUUUUCUGCAAAGAGGUUUAAAGUCGUGAAAGAAUGCUGGUGCCUCUCUCCAUGUCUUUUGAGAGUCACUGAUCGUUGAGAUGCAUUGAAUUAUCGAAUGCAGACCUUGUGAGAAAUUGAAGCAAAUCCUUGCUGAGUAUAUGAUUGUUCCCACUCUGUUCGUGAUUUGGAAGCUAAGGAUUGCCUUGAAGGAACUUUAAUGGCUUCGAGAAGAUCUCUUCAAUUAAUGGAUGGUGUCACAGAUCUGUCCUGAUUUGGAAAUGUGACAAGACAUUGCAUCAACUUAAAUGUUCAGAAAAUGAUUGAGCUGCCACAGCUAGCAGUUUUUCUGCAAAGAGGUUUAAAGUCGUGAAAGAAUGCUGGUGCCUCUCUCCAUGUCUUUUGAGUGUCAUUGAUCGUUCAGAUGCAUUGAAUUAUCGAAUGCAGACCUUGUGAGAAAUUGAAGCAAAUCCUUGCUGAGUAUAUGAUUGUUCCCACUCUGUUCGUGAUUUGGAAGCUAAGGAUUGCCUUGAAGGAACUUUAAUGGGUUCGAGAAGAUCUCUUCAAUCAAUGGAGGGUGUCACAGAUCUGUCCUGAUUUGGAAAUGUGACAAGACAUUGCAUCAACUUAAAUGUUCAGAAAAUGAUUGAGCUGCCACAGCUAGCAGUUUUUCUGCAAAGAGGUUUAAAGUCGUGAAAGAAUGCUGGUGCCUCUCUCCAUGUCUUUUGAGAGUCACUGAUCGUUGAGAUGCAUUGAAUUAUCGAAUGCAGACCUUGUGAGAAAUUGAAGCAAAUCCUUGCUGAGUAUAUGAUUGUUCCCACUCUGUUCGUGAUUUGGAAGCUAAGGAUUGCCUUGAAGGAACUUUAAUGGCUUCGAAAAGAUCUCUUCAAUUAAUGGAGGGUGUCACAGAUCUGUCCUGAUUUGGAAAUGUGACAAGACAUUGCAUCAACUUAAAUGUUCAGAAAAUGAUUGAGCUGCCACAGCUAGCAGUUUUUCUGCAAAGAGGUUUAAAGUCGUGAAAGAAUGCUGGUGCCUCUCUCCAUGUCUUUUGAGUGUCAUUGAUCGUUCAGAUGCAUUGAAUUAUCGAAUGCAGACCUUGUGAGAAAUUGAAGCAAAUCCUUGCUGAGUAUAUGAUUGUUCCCACUCUGUUCGUGAUUUGGAAGCUAAGGAUUGCCUUGAAGGAACUUUAAUGGGUUCGAGAAGAUCUCUUUAAUCAAUGGAGGGUGUCACAGAUCUGUCCUGAUUUGGAUAUGUGACAAGACAUUGCAUCAACUUAAAUGUUCAGAAAAUGAUUGAGCUGCCACAGCUAGCAGUUUUUCUGCAAAGAGGUUUAAAGUCGUGAAAGAAUGCUGGUGCCUCUCUCCAUGUCUUUUGAGUGUCAUUGAUCGUUCAGAUGCAUUGAAUUAUCGAAUGCAGACCUUGUGAGAAAUUGAAGCAAAUCCUUGCUGAGUAUAUGAUUGUUCCCACUCUGUUCGUGAUUUGGAAGCUAAGGAUUGCCUUGAAGGAACUUUAAUGGGUUCGAGAAGAUCUCUUCAAUCAAUGGAGGGUGUCACAGAUCUGUCCUGAUUUGGAUAUGUGACAAGAAACUGCAUUAACUUAAAUGUUCAGAAAAUGAUUGAGCUGCCACAGCUAGCAGUUUUGCUGCAAAGAGGUUUAAAGUCGUGAAAGAAUGCUGGUGCCUCUCUCCAUGUCUUUUGAGAGUCAUUGAUCGUUGAGAUGCAUUGAAUUAUCGAAUGCAGACCUUGUGAGAAAUUGAAGCAAAUCCUUGCUGAGUAUAUGAUUGUUCCCACUCUGUUCGUGAUUUGGAAGCUAAGGAUUGCCUUGAAGGAACUUUAAUGGGUUCGAGAAGAUCUCUUUAAUCAAUGGAGGGUGUCACAGAUCUGUCCUGAUUUGGAUAUGUGACAAGAAACUGCAUUAACUUAAAUGUUCAGAAAAUGAUUGAGCUGCCACAGCUAGCAGUUUUUCUGCAAAGAGGUUUAAAGUCGUGAAAGAAUGCUGGUGCCUAUCUCCAUGUCUUUUGAAAGUCAUUGAUCGUUCAGAUGCAUUGAAACAUCGAAUGCAGACCUUGUGAGAAAUUGAACCAUUAUUAUGCUGACUAUGUGAUUGUUCUCUCUCUCUUUUUCCUGAACCUUAAGUCAAGAAUGGUCCUGAUUUUAGGAUUGCCCUAAAGGAAACUCAAAGUCUCGAAAACCUUUCUAUGUGAUGACUAUGUUGCUUUCUACUUGAAUCGGCGAAAGUUUUGCUGGAACGAGAGAUUCUAACAAGAUGUCAAGAGACAAAUAAAGACCAACAUCAUCAGGGAAAUUGUCCUGAGGAUUAUGCACGAGAAGAAGACGCACAAGAAGAAGAUUCACAAGAAGAAGAUGCAGAAAAAGAAUAUGCACAAGAAGAUGUCAACAAGAAGAUGUUCACAAGAAGAGGAGCAGUGAAGAUGGACUGAAGUACUCUUGAGAAAACGGAAGAUUGUUAUUAAAGCCUUACAUGUAUACACAAAUAAGAUUGUGAAUGGAUUAGAAAUGCAGUAUUUGCUGGCAAGUUAUUGGUUGCAAAACGCUCAUUAGAGCAAAUUUUGGUCAUUUCCCAGUGGGUAUGCUUGAUGGCAUUUUGAUACUUUGCAAAAAGUUCCAUCCUUUUGCGCGUUUGGAGAAGUAAGCGUGUAAAGGGUCAUUUGAAGGAUCUAAAGCGCGUAGGUUUUCACGUUGGGCAAGGUAAAGUGGUUACUGGAAUGUCUUUGUGCAUGUAUCGACACUUUCAGUAUUGGACAGUGAUAGGCAACUGUUGGAACACCCUUUUUAAAUAUGCUUGCCAGCAUUUACUGUAUUUUUUUCCACCAUAAGGGAAGGUCAUUUGAGCAGCUUCUUCAGCAGAACAAGGCAGAGUCUUUUUCCGUUUCAAAACAAGGCAGAGUUUUUUCCGCUUCAAAACAAGGCAGAGUCUUUUUCCGUUUCAAAACAAGGCCGAGUCUUUUCCGUUUCAAAACAAGGCAGAGUCUUUUUCCGUUUCAAAACAAGGCAAUUUUUUUCCGCUUCAAAACAAGGCAG